rnacentral:rRNA from 1 species
UACGAAGGGGCUAGCGUUGCUCGGAAUCACUGGGCGUAAAGGGUGCGUAGGCGGGUCUUUUAAGUCAGGGGUGAAAUCCUGGAGCUCAACUCCAGAACUGCCUUUGAUACUGAGGAUCUUGAGUUCGGGAGAGGUGAGUGGAACUGCGAGUGUAGAGGUGAAAUUCGUAGAUAUUCGCAAGAACACCAGUGGCGAAGGCGGCUCACUGGCCCGAUACUGACGCUGAGGCACGAAAGCGUGGGGAGCAAACAGGGAUUAAGAAACCCAUAGU